rnacentral:rRNA from 1 species
GUAGGUGGCAAGCGUUGUCCGGAAUUAUUGGGCGUAAAGCGCGCGCAGGCGGUUCUUUAAGUCUGAUGUGAAAGCCCACGGCUCAACCGUGGAGGGUCAUUGGAAACUGGAGAACUUGAGUACAGAAGAGGAAAGCGGAAUUCCACGUGUAGCGGUGAAAUGCGUAGAGAUGUGGAGGAACACCAGUGGCGAAGGCGGCCUUCUGGUCUGUAACUGACGCUGAGGCGCGAAAGCGUGGGGAGCAAACAGGAUUAGAUACCCUGGUAGUCCACGCCGUAAACGAUGAGUGCUAAGUGUUAGGGGGGUUUCCGCCCCCCUUAGUGCUGCAGCUAACGCAUUAAGCACUCCGCCUGGGAUACGGCCGCAAGGCUG